rfam:Chelonia mydas contig253866, whole genome shotgun sequence.
GGGAAAAGCCAAUCGGGCUUGGGGGAGGAGCAACCCAAGGCCCUUAAUUUCCAAGGCUCC